AUUGAACGCUGGCGGCAGGCCUAACACAUCCAAGUCGAGCGGUAGCACAAAGAAGCUUGCUCCUUGGGUGACGAGCGGCGGCCGGGUGAGUACUGUCUGGGAAACUGCCUGAUGGAGGGGGAUAACUACUGGAACCGGUAGCUAAUCCCGCAUCACGUCGCAAGACCAAAGAGGGGGACCUUCGGCCCUCUUGCCAUCGGAUGUGCCCGGAUGGGAUUAGCUAGUAGGUGAGGUAAAGGCUCACCUAGGCGACGAUCCCUAGCUGGUCUGAGAGGAUGACCAGCCACACUGGAACUGAGACACGGUCCAGACUCCUACGGGAGGCAGCAGUGGGGAAUAUUGGACAAUGGGCGCAAGCCUGAUGCAGCGAUGCCGCGUGUGUGAAGAAGGCCUUCGGGUUGUAAAGCACUUUCAGCGGGGAGGAAGGGGGCAGACUUAAUACGUCUGUUCAUUGACGUUACCCGCAGAAGAAGCACCGGCUAACUCCGUGCCAGCAGCCGCAGUAACAC
rnacentral:rRNA from 1 species